rnacentral:rRNA from 1 species
UGGGGAAUUUUGGACAAUGGGGGAAACCCUGAUCCAGCCAUCCCGCGUGUGCGAUGAAGGCCUUCGGGUUGUAAAGCACUUUUGGCAGGAAAGAAACGUCAUGGGUUAAUACCCCGUGAAACUGACGGUACCUGCAGAAUAGGCACCGGCUAACUACGUGCCAGCAGCCGCGGUAAUACGUAGGGUGCAAGCGUUAAUCGGAAUUACUGGGCGUAAAGCGUGCGCAGGCGGUUCGGAAAGAAAGAUGUGAAAUCCCAGAGCUCAACUUUGGAACUGCAUUUUUAACUACCGGGCUAGAGUGUGUCAGAGGGAGGUGGAAUUCCGCGUGUAGCAGUGAAAUGCGUAGAUAUGCGGAGGAACACCGAUGGCGAAGGCAGCCUCCUGGGAUAACACUGACGCUCAUGCACGAAAGCGUGGGGAGCAAACAGG